ACUCUAACUUUAGCAUCUUUCUUUUAAGCAUAGUAGAAAGUGCUAUCAAGUUGGGGUAG
rnacentral:pre_miRNA from 1 species